rnacentral:rRNA from 1 species
AGCAGUAGCCGCGGGAACACAGAGGGUGCGAGCGUUAAUCGGAUUUACUGGGCGUAAAGCGUGCGUAGGCGGCUUCUUAAGUCGGAUGUGAAAUCCCUGAGCUUAACUUAGGAAUUGCAUUCGAUACUGGGAAGCUAGAGUAUGGGAGAGGAUGGUAGAAUUCCAGGUGUAGCGGUGAAAUGCGUAGAGAUCUGGAGGAAUACCGAUGGCGAAGGCAGCCAUCUGGCCUAAUACUGACGCUGAGGUACGAAAGCAUGGGGAGCAAACAGGAUUAGAUACCCCCGUAGUCCCUGUCUCUUAUAC